rnacentral:rRNA from 1 species
UACGUAGGGUGCGAGCGUUGUCCGGAAUUAUUGGGCGUAAAGAGCUCGUAGGCGGUCUGUUGCGUCUGCUGUGAAAUCCCGAGGCUCAACCUCGGGCCUGCAGUGGGUACGGGCAGACUAGAGUGCGGUAGGGGAGAACGGAAUUCCUGGUGUAGCGGUGAAAUGCGCAGAUAUCAGGAGGAACACCGGUGGCGAAGGCGGUUCUCUGGGCCAUAACUGACGCUGAGGAGCGAAAGCGUGGGGAGCGAACAGG